AGAGUUUGAUCCUGGCUCAGGACGAACGCUGGCGGCGUGCCUAAUACAUGCAAGUCGAACGGUCUUUUCUACGGAAGCUUGCUUCCACUGAGAAGAUAGUGGCGAACGGGUGAGUAACACGUGGGUAACCUGCCCAUAAGAGGGGGAUAACAUCCGGAAACGGGUGCUAAUACCGCAUAGUUUUCUUGAUCGCAUGAUUGAGAAAGGAAAGACGGCCUUUGUGCUGUCGCUUAUGGAUGGACCCGCGGCGUAUUAGUUAGUUGGUGAGGUAACGGCUCACCAAGACGAUGAUACGUAGCCGACCUGAGAGGGUGAUCGGCCACAUUGGGACUGAGACACGGCCCAAACUCCUACGGGAGGCAGCAGUAGGGAAUCUUCCGCAAUGGACGAAAGUCUGACGGAGCAACGCCGCGUGAGUGAAGAAGGUUUUCGGAUCGUAAAACUCUGUUGUCAGAGAAGAACAAGUCGGAGAGUAACUGCUCCGGCCUUGACGGUAUCUGACCAGAAAGCCACGGCUAACUACGUGCCAGCAGCCGCGGUAAUACGUAGGUGGCAAGCGUUGUCCGGAUUUAUUGGGCGUAAAGCGAGCGCAGGCGGUUCCUUAAGUCUGAUGUGAAAGCCCACGGCUCAACCGUGGAAGGUCAUUGGAAACUGGGGAACUUGAGUGCAGAAGAGGAGAGUGGAAUUCCAUGUGUAGCGGUGAAAUGCGUAGAUAUAUGGAGGAACACCAGUGGCGAAGGCGACUCUCUGGUCUGUAACUGACGCUGAGGCUCGAAAGCGUGGGGAGCAAACAGGAUUAGAUACCCUGGUAGUCC
rnacentral:rRNA from 1 species